GUGCCUUUUUAAGGUUGACGCAGUGCUUUAAGAAGCUAACACAGAAGGGUAAAGCAAACCUCCAUAGAACCCAGAGAAGAGAUUGCAAAACUCUUCUUUGGAUCCUGCCUGGAGUUACCAAU
rnacentral:snoRNA from 17 species